UGCACAGCUUCCUGCAUUUCUGUACUGAUGCCAGGGGUGGGGUGAUGUCACAUGCCAGGUCUUGGCAUAAGUACAGUGCUGCCAAGGAGCAGUUCAGUCAGAGAACAGACUUAACCCUGCAGCCCUCAAGGUCUGCUUACGAAAUCUAAAUCUUCACCAACAGUGUUUGAAUUCCUAACGCUAAAGUGUUCCUUUAAAUUUCACUUUGAACUCCCACCAAUUCUCACUUCAGCAAAUAAGCCUGUCAGUGUUAAAACCAAGAAACACCCAUUAUCCUUAGCAUCAUCAGGCUUGUUUGGUUAAGUCUAAAGGGUAAUCAAGACACUCUUCAAAAUGGUUUGACAAAAAACAGACUCCAUACAAAGCCUUGUUGCACGACAAAUACAAUAGACUAUAUUGGAUAUGGGUGCAGUUCACUUCCUACAAUGAUUUUAUGACUACAGUCCCCAUAAUGCACUAAGCUCACGAUAUUGCAGGUCACGUGAUCCAUUUACCCAAGCAUAUUAAUUCCGUUUAAGCCAUUGUUUUAUAAUCUAAUCAUUUUUGUUUUUUUAAAUAUAUUCAAACAUUUGUAUGUCUAUUUUAAUUCACACUAUAUUACUAAU